rnacentral:rRNA from 1 species
CCUACGGGGGGCAGCAGUAGGGAAUAUUGCUCAAUGGGCGAAACCCUGAAGCAGCAACGCCGCGUGGAGGAUGAAGGUUCUCGGAUUGUAAACUCCUUUUGUUAGAGAAGAUAAUGACGGUAUCUAACGAAUAAGCACCGGCUAACUCCAUGCCAGCAGCCGCGGUAAUACGGAGGGUGCAAGCGUUACUCGGAAUCACUGGGCGUAAAGAGCGCGUAGGCGGGAUAGCAAGUCAGAGGUGAAAUCCUAUGGCUUAACCAUAGAACUGCAUUUGAAACUGGUAUUCUAGAGUAGGGGAGAGGUAGGUGGAAUGCUUGGUGUAGGGGUAAAAUGCGUAGAGAUCAAGAAGAAUACUCAUUGCGAAGGCGACCUGCUAGAACAUAACUGACGCUGAGGCGCGAAAGCGUGGGGAGCAAACAGGAUUAGAUACCCGUGUAGUC